UUAGCCCAAUUCACUGGUUUCCUUAUUGAAUAUAAUUACGGGAACCAGUGACUCAUUGGGUUAA